UUAUUAAGGGCGUAUGGGGAAUGCCUAGGCUCUCAGAGGCGAAGAAGGACGUGAUAAGCUGCGAAAAGCUGCGGGGAUUGGCACAUACAAAUUGAUCCGCAGAUAUCCGAAUGGGGCAACCCACUAUAUUGAAGAUAUAGUAUCCGAAAGGAGGCGAACCCGGAGAACUGAAACAUCUAAGUACCCGGAGGAAAGGACAUCAAUAGAGACUUCCCUAGUAGCGGCGAGCGAACGGGAACCAGCCGAGCCUGAUGAGUGACUAGAAUGUGUUGGGAAGCACAGCCAUAGCGGGUGACAGCCCCGUAUAGGAAGCUCUGAGGGACGUAUUAAGUAGGGCGGGACACGUGAAAUCCUGUCUGAACAUGGGGGGACCACCCUCCAAGCCUAAGUACUCCUUGACGACCGAUAGUGUACCAGUACCGUGAGGGAAAGGUGAAAAGCACCCCGACGAGGGGAGUGAAACAGUUUCUGAAACCGGACGCCUACAAUCAGUCGGAGCCUCCUUGAGAGGUGA
rnacentral:rRNA from 13 species